rnacentral:rRNA from 1 species
AUUGAAUGAACUUGGUGGGUUGUUGCUGGCUCCUUGGGAGCAUGUGCACACUCAUCAUCUUUAUCCAUCCACCUGUGCACCUUUUGUAGUCUUGGAGGUGUUAUGACACAUGUGUAUAUCUGAGUCCACUUAUGGGCUUCAGGAAUUGGGGUCUGCCAUGGCUGGCUUACUCUGGGUGGGUUUUCACACAUGUGUAUACUCUCUGAGUCUAUGUUUUUCAUACACCAUAUUGCAUGUCUUCAGAAUGUAUGAUCACAGGCCUCUGUGCCUAUAAAACAUAAUACAACUUUCAGCAACGGAUCUCUUGGCUCUCGCAUCGAUGAAGAACGCAGCGAAAUGCGAUAAGUAAUGUGAAUUGCAGAAUUCAGUGAAUCAUCGAAUCUUUGAACGCACCUUGCGCUCCUUGGUAUUCCGAGGAGCAUGCCUGUUUGAGUGUCAUUUAAUUCUCAACCCCACCAGCUUUGUGUGGCUGGCUUGGUGGCUUGGAUAAUGGGGGUUAUCUGCGGGCCUCUUUCUUUUGAGGUCAGCUCCCCUGAAAUGCAUUAGCGGAACGGUUUGCAGUCCUGUCACUGGCGUGAUAAACUAUCUACGCUAACACAUGAUGGGUUGCUCUCUGAUAGUUCAGCUUCUAACUGUCCCAUUUCAUGGACAACUGUGUGCAUACACGACUUUGAAACUUGACCUCAAAUCAGGUAGGACUACCCGCUGAACUUAAGCAUAUCAAUA